rnacentral:rRNA from 1 species
UACGGGGGGGGCAAGCGUUGUUCGGAAUUACUGGGCGUAAAGGGCUCGUAGGCGGCCCUCUCAGUCGGAUGUGAAAUCCCCAGGCUUAAUCUGGGAAUGGCAUCCGAUACUGGAGGGCUUGAAUUCGGGAGAGGGAUGCAGAAUUCCAGGUGUAGCGGUGAAAUGCGUAGAUAUCUGGAGGAAUACCGGUGGCGAAGGCGGCAUCCUGGACCGAGAUUGACGCUGAGGAGCGAAAAGCUAGGGGAGCAAACGGG